GUCUAUGGCCAUACCCCCCUUAAACAUGCCCAAUCUUGUCUAAUGUCAGAAGUUUAGCAGGACUGGGGCUGGUUAAUACUUGGAUGGGAGACUGCCUGGGAAUACCAUGUGCUAUAGGCU
rnacentral:rRNA from 1 species